UUGGAGGUGGAGCCUUUGAGAGGUGAUUAGGUCAAGAGGGCUAAACCCUCACAAGUGGGAUUAGUGCCCUUACAAAAGAGGCCCUAGAGAGCUCCCUUUCUCCCUCCACCAUGUGAGGACACAGAAGACAGGAACCAGGAAACAGGUGUCUUCAUCAGACACUGAAUCUGCCAGCACCGUGCUCUUGGACUUCACAGCCUAGAGAACUUUUACAGGUUGCGUUGCUGCCAACAUCAGGGACAGACACGGCUACAGUGUCUGGGGAAGACUGAGAGACGGAAGAGCUUAGUUUCAAUUCCAAAUGAGACGUACUCAUAACUUACCUCAACAUUCACAACAGCUGCACAUGGCAGCAAAGGGAUGUUUUCCGAUUAAACAAUUAUUACUC